UUCAAAGGUAUACUAUGUAUUGUGAUUUUAUGAAUACUAUGUGUCUGCCUCAAUCAUCAGUAACAUGUAUAUUGAAUAUAUACCCCAUACUAGCUACCUGGUUAGUGAGAACGACCCCACCGAGUGAACAUCGCCAAAAAUUCGUCACGCUCUAUUGACCAAUGAGAGCGAGUUCACUUGAAACUCUAGGAUUAACUCUACAGACCAUAGUUUCAACAAUGUUACGUCAUUUGAUCCUUGAACCCUACCCGAUACCAACCCAUGCUAUUCCCGAGGUAAGUAGAGUUCAAAGAUGGCGGCGAUGGAUGGAGAAGAAGAAUUGUAAGUUGAAAUAGUGCCUUGUUAAUUGAUAUAUCACAACAAUUAAACAAAAUUUCAAAAUAAUUCGACUCCUUAAUAAGCCUAUAAGGGGGUCUUGUGUUGAUUUGCGCUAAUAUCUUUGAUUUCGUCUGAUAUGAAUGACAAUUCUGCCUAAGUAACUGAUAAAGUUGUACUUUUGUGCGGUUGUGUACUGAAUGCUGCUGUACGGUAAGCAGUUAUCAAUAUUUUGAUGAUGAAUGAUUAUGUUUUAAUCUUCGGAGCUAGGGCUAACGUUAAUUAAGGUAUUAUGCAUUCAAUUUUCUAGGGUACAGAUACAGUUUGAGGAGAACGGGGAAACUAUAAGGGCCCUUGUUCCACAGAAGUUUGCUUUAGAAAUACAGGAAACACAAACCACUGAUCCUGAAAGACACCAAUUUACAGAAAUAAAAUUAUGGCACAAGAAAGAUAUAACAGCACCAGCGAAUCGGAUAGGCCUAAAUCGGAGGAACCUAAAGUAGGCCUAACAGCCAAAGACACAAUUCAUGCUGGACAGAGAAGGAAGAGAGGUUCUUCAUCCAGCUGAGACUUGAAAUGGACUUGAAUUGUUCAACGGGAACAAGAGUCAUGAUCAGCUUUGGGGCAAGAUAAUGCAGUAGUUGAACAGUGAAGGAAUACAUGUGACAAAAGUUAAAAUUAUAAACAUGUGGAAAAUUUUAAAGAAAAAUUAUAAGGAAAUUUUAGACGAAAAUAAUAAAAUAAUAAAACUGGAAACUCACCAUAUCUGUGAAAUAUUUUGAGACUUGCAAUGCUGCAUGUAGAAACAAGGCGUCAUCAAAACCGAUUUGUUCGGUUGACACUAGUAAAACUAGUCCAAUCACCAAAGUUUCCACAUCAGUUUCAAGUUCAAUAGGACGUUCCCCAACAUCUUGUUCACAGACAUCCACUUCCAAUGGCAUUGUCAAUUCUGAUAAUAGUGCUUUUGGGGGGAAGGGAACUAAGAGAAAGAGGGAUGCCAAGGAACCAGAAACAUCUAAACAUGACAUUAUAAAUGUCAUGGCUUUACAACGUAAGGAAAAAAUGUCACUUAUGGACAAAAUUUUGAAUGUAUUCAAAGUGCUAGCUGGACAGGAACCAGAGGCUGAGGAAAGCGAGAGUAAUGAUUAGUAAUGAUUAGACAGUUGAAGUUUUAUCUGUAAAGUUGUAUUAUUUUUUAUGCAAAGGAUGCGGUUUUUGUUUUUUGUUUUUAUACACCCACCAACUGUACCGAACAUAUUUCAUUAUAUAAGUUUGCUAUCUGUCAUGUGACAAUGAUUACAUAGUUGCACUUUCGUCACAAGCAUUGUUAUUUUAAAUGCAAAGGAUGUAUUUUUUAUGCCUACCAACUGUGCCAAGCCUAUUAUGUUGUCACGCUAUCUGUUCUUGUUUUUACAUUACCAAUUUAGCAUGUGACCAUCGAAAAUGUAAUUCCACUUUCCUCAGUGAAGUACAACUGUAGGUUUUGUCUUGUUGCACUAAGAAUUUAAUGUUUCUUAGUAUGAUACUUUGAUUUUGUUUUAAUUUAUAAUAUAAAAAAUCAUUUGAAGGUGCCAUUAUGACAACCGUGCCGUUCAAAUAUCAGAAUCAUUUACAAACUAGUUAUAAAAAUAAUAAUACAGUACCCACAUAGUCAAUAUUUCUCCUUUUGAAGUAACUUUUUCUCUGAGGUAUUAUUGGUGUCAGCAGUACUUUUGUUGUUGUUUAUGUUUUGUUAAAAAAUG